UAACAACGAGACCUUAACCUGCUAAUAGCCAGGCCGGCUUUCGCUGGUCGCCGGCUUCUUAGUAGGGACUGUCAGCGUCUAGCUGACGGAAGGUUUGAGGCAAUAACAGGUCUGUGAUGCCCUUAGAUGUUCUGGGCCGCACGCGCGCUACACUGACAGAGCCAGCGAGUUUUCCACCUUGGCCGGAAGGUCUGGGUAAUCUUGUGAAACUCUGUCGUGCUGGGGAUAGAGCAUUGCAAUC
rnacentral:rRNA from 1 species